rnacentral:rRNA from 1 species
CACGUAGGGUGCGAGCGUUGUCCGGAAUUAUUGGGCGUAAAGAGCUCGUAGGCGGUUUGUCGCGUCUGCCGUGAAAGUCCGGGGCUCAACUCCGGAUCUGCGGUGGGUACGGGCAGACUAGAGUGAUGUAGGGGAGACUGGAAUUCCUGGUGUAGCGGUGAAAUGCGCAGAUAUCAGGAGGAACACCGAUGGCGAAGGCAGGUCUCUGGGCAUUAACUGACGCUGAGGAGCGAAAGCAUGGGGAGCGAACAGG